CCUUAGAGCACUCACAUGGGAUGUGGAAUACCCCCUCAGCCUGACAAGGAGAACAUGAGUCUGCAGCUUUCCAGACCCAACUCUACCACUUUGCUCAAAGACAGAGGAAACAUCAGCUGAGCAGGAGAGCUUUAGAAGGGAUUGGCUGAGAUGCUAUUCUUCACUUCAGCCAGAGAAGAGGGAUCUGAGCCCCUGGUGGGAGUGCCUGGUGCUGGGACAAUAGGGUGACCAGCAAUAGGUGCAGAACUUCCGGAUGCACAGGAGGACAUUCCAUGAGCUCUGCACCUGGCUCACCCCUGUGCUCCAGAGGCAGGACACCCACCUACGUCCCACCAUCCCCGUGGAGAAGAGGGUCAUGAUUGCCCUAUGGAAACUGGCCACCCUGGACAGCUACCGCUCCAUGGGGAACCAGUUCGGGGUGGGCAGGUCCACUGUCCGGCAGGUUGUCCGUGCCAUCAAUGAUGUGCUGCUCCAGAGGAUCAUCCACCCUCGUGACCUGGACACCGCCAUCGCCGGCUUCACCAGCCUGGGGUUCCUGAACUGUGGGGGAGCCAUUGAUGGGACCUAUAUACCCAUCAGGGUGCCAGAGCACCAAACGGCCCAGUUCAUUAACCGGAAGGGCUAUUGCUCGGUGGUGCUCCAGGCACUUGUGGACCACCAGGGCCGGUUCAUGUGGGGUAGUCUGGCAAGGCCUAUGACGCCUGAAUCUUCUGGCACUCAGGUCUGUGUCACAGGCUGGAGGUAGGCACCUACUUCCCCCAGCAGUACUUCAGCAUUGGGGCAGUCAGGAUGCCGGUCUGCAUAGUGGCGGAUGCGGCCUACCCCCUGAUGGCCUGGCUGAUGUGGCCAUACACGGGCCGACUGGACCACAGCCAGGCUACCUUCAGCAGCCCCAUUGAGUGCGCCUUCGGGCGUCUGAAGGCACGCUUCAGAUGCCUCCUGACCCCCCUGGACAUGGGGGUGCAGCAUGUCCUGGAGGUCAUCGCAGCGUGCUGUGUGCUGCAUAACAUUAUUGAGGGAAAGGGAGAGGCUUUCCUCCUGGGAUGGAUGGCUGGUGAGGGCCAGGCCUACCAGCAGUCCCAGACGGCUGCCACCCGACAGGCAAACUGCGACCGGGUGCAGAUCCGGGAAGCCAUCUGGGUGAUGCUGCACUGGGCCCACAGUAGGCUGCACCUAUGCCUCUAAGCACAUGGUUCUCUCCAUGCCUCCACCUCCCACUCCUU